GGGCCUGUAGCUCAGUUGGUUAGAGCACACGCUUGAUAAGCGUGGGGUCACAAGUUCAAAUCUUGUCAGGCCCACCA
rnacentral:tRNA from 2 species